GACGAACGCUGGCGGCGUGCUUAACACAUGCAAGUCGAACGGAAAGGCCCUGCUUUUGUGGGUUGCUCGAGUGGCGAACGGGUGAGUAACACGUGAGUAACCUGCCCUUGACUUUGGGAUAACUUCAGGAAACUGGGGCUAAUACCGGAUAGCAGCUCCCGCUGCAUGGUGGGGUUUGGAAAGUUCCGGCGGUUGGGGAUGGACUCGCGGCUCAUCAGCUUGUUGGUGGGGCAGUGGCCUCCCAAGGCUUUGACGGGUAGCCGGCCUGAGAAGGUGACCGACCCUCUGACGACUGAGAUUCUGCACAGACUGGUACGGGAGGUAGCAGUGUGAGAUAUUCAACUAUCGGCGGAAACACGGCGGUGCAACGCCUCGCGCGGGAUGGAGGCCUUCGGGUUGUAACCCGGUUUCGCCUGGGACGAAGCCAGGGUGACGGCAACGGGUCAAGAAGCACCCGCUAACUAGGUG
rnacentral:rRNA from 1 species